AAUCUAAAACCCUUAUCGAGGAUCCAUUGGAGGGCAAGUCUGGUGCCAGCAGCCUCAGUAAUUCCAGCUCCAAUAGCGUAUAUUAAAGUUGUUGCAGUUAAAAAGCUCGUAGUUGAAUUUCUGGAUCUGCCGAGUGUGCGCCUCUGGCUGUAUGCUCCGCAGGUUCAUCUUCACCUCUCGGGGUGUCGUUUACUGUGAAGAAAUCAGAGUGUUUAAAGCAGGCAAUAGGCUUGAAUACAUUAGCAUGGAAUAAUGAGAUAGGACCUGGUCGCUAUUUUGUUGGUUGCGCGAUCGAGUAAUGAUUAAUAGGGUCAGUUGGGGGUAUUCAUAUUUAAUUGUCAGAGGUGAAAUUCUUGGAUUCAUUAAAGAUGAACUACUGCGAAAGCAUCUACCAAGGAUGUUUACAUUAAUCAAGAACGAAAGUCAGGGGAUCGAAGAGGAUUAGAUACCCUCGUAGUCUUGACCAUAAACUAUGCCGACUCGGGAUUGGUACCUCUCUUUGACAAGGUAACAGCACCGUAUGAUAAAUCAAAGUCUUUGGGUUCCGGGGGGAGUAUGGUCGCAAGGCUGAAACUUAAAGGAAUUGACGGAAGGGCACCACCAGGAGUGGAGCCUGCGGCUUAAUUUGACAACACGGGGAAACUCACCAGGUCCAGACAUAGUGAGGAUUGACAGAUUGAAAGGUCUUUCUUGAUUCUAUGGGUGGUGGUGCAUGGCCGUUCUUAGUUGGUGGAGUGAUUUGUCUGGUUAAUUCCGAUAACGAACGAGACCUCCGCCUGCUAGUCUAGAUUCCUCAUCUGCGGAUGGUGGGAUCUUCCUAGAGGGACUAUGGUCGUUUAGGCCAUGGAAGUUGGAGGCAAUAACAGUUCUGUGAUGCCCUUAGAUGUCCUGGGCCGCACGCGCGCUACACUGGCUGGUGCAACAAGUGUCUCCACGUUGGCCUCGAGAGGCCUGCGCAAUCUUGGAACGCCAGCCGUGAUGGGGAUAGGUUCUUGUAAUUUUUAAUCUUCAACGAGGAAUUCCUAGUAAACGCAAGUCAUCAGCUUGCAUUGAUUACGUCCCUGCCCUUUGUACACACCGCCCGUCGCACCUACCGAUUGGAUGGUCCGGUGAAGCCCUCGGAUUGGCCAGGAUCUUCGGUGACUGGCUCGAGAAGUAGGCUAAACCUUAUCAUCUAGAGGAAGGUGAAGUCGUAACAAGGU
rnacentral:rRNA from 1 species